rnacentral:rRNA from 1 species
UACGUAGGGUGCGAGCGUUGUCCGGAAUUAUUGGGCGUAAAGAGCUUGUAGGCGGUUUGUCGCGUCUGCUGUGAAAAUCCGGGGCUCAACCCCGGACUUGCAGUGGGUACGGGCAGACUAGAGUGUGGUAGGGGAGACUGGAAUUCCUGGUGUAGCGGUGAAAUGCGCAGAUAUCAGGAGGAACACCGAUGGCGAAGGCAGGUCUCUGGGCCACUACU